UUCGACCAUUAGGGGAAUCCUUUUAAAGGACUGAGAAACGAGUUCCACUCCGCUACCCUUAUCACCUGAACAGGUUUGUACCUGCGUAGGGAAGUGGCGUGUCUUCCUA
rnacentral:ncRNA from 1 species